rnacentral:rRNA from 1 species
UACGAAGGGGGCUAGCGUUGCUCGGAAUCACUGGGCGUAAAGGGUGCGUAGGCGGGUCUUUAAGUCAGGGGGGAAAUCCUGGAGCUCAACUCCAGAACUGCCUUUGAUACUGAGGAUCUUGAGUUCGGGAGAGGUGAGUGGAACUGCGAGUGUAGAGGUGAAAUUCGUAGAUAUUCGCAAGAACACCAGUAGCGAAGGCGGCUCACUGGCCCGAUACUGACGCUGAGGCACGAAAGCGUGGGGAGCAAACAGG